UCUUCCGCAAUGGACGAAAGUCUGACGGAGCAACGCCGCGUGAGUGCUGAAGGUUUUCGGCUCGUAAAGCUCUGUUGUUAGGGAAGAACAAGUGCCGUUCAAAUAGGGCGGCACCUUGACGGUACCUAACCAGAAAGCCACGGCUAACUACGUGCCAGCAGCCGCGGUAAAACGUAGGUGGCAAGCGUUGUCCGGAAUUAUUGGGCGGAAAGGGCUCGCAGGCGGUUUCUUAAGUCUGAAGUGAAAGCCCCCGGCUCAACCGGGGAGGGUCAUUGGAAACUGGGGAACUUGAGUGCAGAAGAGGGGAGUGGAAUUCCACGUGUAGCGGUGAAAUGCGUAGAGAUGUGGAGGAACACCAGUGGCGAAGGCGACUCUCUGGUCUGUAACUGACGCUGAGGAGCGAAAGCGUGGGGAGCGAACAG
rnacentral:rRNA from 1 species